UACGCAGGGGGCUAGCGUUGUUCGGAAUCACUGGGCGUAAAGCGCACGUAGGCGGAUUGUUAAGUCGGGGGUGAAAUCCUGAGGCUCAACCUCAGAACUGCCUUCGAUACUGGCAAUCUCGAGUCCGGAAGAGGUUGGUGGAACAGCUAGUGUAGGGGUGAAAUUCGUAGAUAUUAGCUAGAACACCAGUGGCGAAGGCGGCCAACUGGUCCGGUACUGACGCUGAGGUGCGAAAGCGUGGGGAGCAAACAGG
rnacentral:rRNA from 1 species